ACCGUGUUCUUUCUAUCCUCCCUUCUUCAAGUAUGUACCUUUCUUUUCAUUGUUAUUUCCCUUAUAAAAAAAAAUAUUUCUUAUAAUAUAGAUUUAUUUUAAGUUAAGUCCCAAGUGUGAAAAAUUUCUAUUAUCUAUCCCCUCAAAAUUUUCAUGAGCCAUAACAAAAAUUCAACACACUCAGUAAGUAUAAAGGUUGCUCAUUUUAUCGAACUUGAGACAAAUUAAGACAAAAACUAUUACCGCCAAACACUCUAAACAAACCUAACUCAGUAAGUAUAAAGGUUGCUCAUUUUAUCGAACUUGAGACAAAUUAAGACAAAAACUAUUACCGCCAAACACUCUA
rnacentral:lncRNA from 1 species